ACUUGAGAGGCAAGUGCUCUGCCACUGAGCCACAAUCCCAGCCAUACAUUGGUUUUUUUAUUUAUUCAUUUUUGGGGUACUGGGGAUUAAACCCAGGGGUGCUUUACUACAUCCUUAGCUGGCCUUGAACUUGCAAUUCUCCUGCGUCAACCCCCUGAGUUGCUGGGAAUACAGGCAUAUGCCACUGUACCUGGCAAAAAGUAUAUUUUAAAUAGUUAAAGCAAAAGUGGACUUAGAAAGAUAUCAGUCUCAGUCCCGAAUGAAGCCCUUCCUUUUCCAUUGUUGCCAAUCAUGAUUUUAUCUUCUAUGACUACUGAGAAGAGGAAGAUGUGUGGAAGGACUGGUGAAAAUGUGUCACCAGUCCUCAGUCAGCCCCAAAGUACCCUGAAAGUAGAUCCUCAGUUACUAGGAUGCCCUAAGGGGUCAAUAAAACAUCCCCACAAACUGGAUGUGAUGGUGUAAUCCCAGCAAUUUAGGAGACUGAGGCAGGAGACUAGCAAAUUUGAAGCCAGCCUCAGCAACAUAACCAUGUAGCUCAGUGGUAAAACACCUGUGGGUUCCAUCCCUGGUACCCAAACCAAAAACAAAUCCAC
rnacentral:lncRNA from 1 species